UGUUUUUAAUGGAGAGUCACCUAGGC
rnacentral:piRNA from 1 species